AUGUCCAUCACGAACUCUGAAGUAGAGAGCGCCAUGAAUCAUCGCUAUUGGAGGGCCGUUCUUGGUGACUGCGGCUUUUCAAAGGAGGCAUUCGAUGCCUUCAGCUCGGUUGAUGCGUACAUUCGAGCUGCUCAAGAUGGACUUGCCAGAGCCACGGACCAGCAUCCAAAAGAUAUGCGGGCACUUAUGGCGAAGAAUAGACUGCUGUCUCAAGAGCUGGAAAAAUGUCAGAGUCAGCUAACUGCGGCUACCUCCGAAUUGGAGAAAUCCAAGGAGCCACCACCAGAAUCGCUAGAGCAACUGAGAGAGAAAUUGAUGGUCGCCUAG
rnacentral:rRNA from 1 species